rnacentral:rRNA from 1 species
ACGAGAAGACCCUAUAAAUCUUUAUAUUUAGAUUAUUAUAAUUUUAUAGAUUUUUUUUGUUAUAAUAAUCAAUGAUAUUUUAUUGGGGUGAUAUUAAAAUUUAAUAAACUUUUAAUUGUUAAAAUCAUUAAUUUAUGAGUAAUUGAUCCGUUAUUAGCGAUUAAAAAAAUAAGUUACUUUAGGGAUAACAGCGUAAUUUUUUUGGAGAGUUCAUAUCGAAAAAAAGAUUGCGACCUCGAUGUUGGAUUAA